rnacentral:rRNA from 1 species
CCUGACGCAGCGACGCCGCGUGAGUGAUGAAGGUUUUCGGACUGUAAAGCUCUGUUGUUUAGGACGAAAGUGCCUGUUGCGAACAGUUACAGGUAUUGACGGUACUAAACGAGGAAGCCACGGCUAACUACGUGCCAGCAGCCGCGGUAAUACGUAGGUGGCAAGCGUUGUCCGGAAUUACUGGGCGUAAAGGAUGUGUAGGCGGAUAUUUAAGUGAGAUGUGAAAUCCCCGAGCUCAACCUGGGGGCUGCAUUUCAAACUGGGUAUCUAGAGUGCAGGAGAGGAAAGCGGAAUUCCUAGUGUAGCGGUGAAAUGCGUAGAGAUUAGGAAGAACAUCAGUGGCGAAGGCGGCUUUCUGGACUGUAACUGACGCUGAGGCAUGAAAGCGUGGGGAGCAAACAGGAUUAGAUACCCUGGUAGUCCACGCCGUAAACGAUGAGUACUAGGUGUAGGAGGUAUCGACUCCUUCUGUGCCGCAGUUAACACAAUAAGUACUCCGCCUGGGAAGUACGGUCGCAAGAUUAAAACUCAAAGGAAUUGACGG